rnacentral:rRNA from 1 species
AUUGAACGCUGGCGGCAGGCCUAACACAUGCAAGUCGAACGAGUGGCGGACGGGUGAGCAAUGUCUGGGAAAAUGCCUGAUGGAGGGGGAUAAGUACUGGAAACGGUAGCUAACACCGCAUACCAUCAGAUGUGCCCAGAUGGGUUUAGCUAGUUGGUGAGGUAACGGCUAACCAAGGCGACGAGCCCUAGCUGGUCCGAGAGGAUGACCGGCCACACGGGAACUGAGACACGGUCCAGAUUCCUACGGGAGGCAGCGGUGGGGAAUAUUGCAAAAUGGGCGCAAGGCUGAUGGAGCCAUGCCGCGUGUGUGAAGAAGGCCUUCGGAUUGUAAAGUACUUUGAGCGGAGAGGCGUUAGCUACAGAGAAAGCACCGGCUAACUCCGUGCCAGCAGCCGCGGUAAUUC